GGGUUGUGAGGUUAAGCGACUAAGCGUACACGGUGGAUGCCCUGGCAGUCAGAGGCGAUGAAGGACGUGCUAAUCUGCGAAAAGCGCCGGCGAGGUGAUAUGAACCUUUGACCCGGCGAUGUCCGAAUGGGGAAACCCAGUGCAAUCCGUUGCACUAUCGUUAACUGAAUACAUAGGUUAACGAGGCGAACCGGGGGAACUGAAACAUCUAAGUACCCCGAGGAAAAGAAAUCAACCGAGAUUCCCCCAGUAGCGGCGAGCGAACGGGGAGCAGCCCGGAGUCUGAAUCAGCUUGUGUGUUAGUGGAACGGUCUGGAAAGUCCGACGGUACAGGGUGAUAGUCCCGUACACGAAAGCACACAUGCUGUGAACUCGAAGAGUAGGGCGGGACACGUGGUAUCCUGUCUGAAUAUGGGGGGACCAUCCUCCAAGGCUAAAUACUCCUGACUGACCGAUAGUGAACCAGUACCGUGAGGGAAAGGCGAAAAGAACCCCGGCGAGGGGAGUGAAAAAGAACCUGAAACCGUGUACGUACAAGCAGUGGGAGCCUCUUUAUGGGGUGACUGCGUACCUUUUGUAUAAUGGGUCAGCGACUUAUAUUCUGUAGCAAGGUUAACCGUAUAGGGGAGCCGAAGGGAAACCGAGUCUUAACUGGGCGUUAAGUUGCAGGGUAUAGACCCGAAACCCGGUGAUCUAGCCAUGGGCAGGUUGAAGGUUGGGUAACACUAACUGGAGGACCGAACCGACUAAUGUUGAAAAAUUAGCGGAUGACCUGUGGCUGGGGGUGAAAGGCCAAUCAAACCGGGAGAUAGCUGGUUCUCCCCGAAAGCUAUUUAGGUAGCGCCUCGUGAACUCAUCUUCGGGGGUAGAGCACUGUUUCGGCUAGGGGGCCAUCCCGGCUUACCAACCCGAUGCAAACUACGAAUACCGAAGAAUGUUAUCACGGGAGACACACGGCGGGUGCUAACGUCCGUCGUGAAGAGGGAAACAACCCAGACCGCCAGCUAAGGUCCCAAAGUCAUGGUUAAGUGGGAAACGAUGUGGGAAGGCACAGACAGCCAGGAUGUUGGCUUAGAAGCAGCCAUCAUUUAAAGAAAGCGUAAUAGCUCACUGGUCGAGUCGGCCUGCGCGGAAGAUGUAACGGGGCUAAACCAUGCACCGAAGCUGCGGCAGCGACACUAUGUGUUGUUGGGUAGGGGAGCGUUCUGUAAGCCGUUGAAGGUGUGCUGUGAGGCAUGCUGGAGGUAUCAGAAGUGCGAAUGCUGACAUAAGUAACGAUAAAGCGGGUGAAAAGCCCGCUCGCCGGAAGACCAAGGGUUCCUGUCCAACGUUAAUCGGGGCAGGGUGAGUCGACCCCUAAGGCGAGGCCGAAAGGCGUAGUCGAUGGGAAACAGGUUAAUAUUCCUGUACUUGGUGUUACUGCGAAGGGGGGACGGAGAAGGCUAUGUCAGCCGGGCGACGGUUGUCCCGGUUUAAGCAUGUAGGCGGAGGUUCCAGGUAAAUCCGGUACCUUGUUAACGCUGAGGUGUGAUGACGAGGCACUACGGUGCUGAAGUGAUAAAUGCCCUGCUUCCAGGAAAAGCCUCUAAGCAUCAGGUAACACGAAAUCGUACCCCAAACCGACACAGGUGGUCAGGUAGAGAAUACCAAGGCGCUUGAGAGAACUCGGGUGAAGGAACUAGGCAAAAUGGUGCCGUAACUUCGGGAGAAGGCACGCUGAUGUGUAGGUGAAGUCCCUGCGGACGGAGCUGAAAUCAGUCGAAGAUACCAGCUGGCUGCAACUGUUUAUUAAAAACACAGCACUGUGCAAACACGAAAGUGGACGUAUACGGUGUGACGCCUGCCCGGUGCCGGAAGGUUAAUUGAUGGGGUUAGCGGCAACGCGAAGCUCUUGAUCGAAGCCCCGGUAAACGGCGGCCGUAACUAUAACGGUCCUAAGGUAGCGAAAUUCCUUGUCGGGUAAGUUCCGACCUGCACGAAUGGCGUAAUGAUGGCCAGGCUGUCUCCACCCGAGACUCAGUGAAAUUGAACUCGCUGUGAAGAUGCAGUGUACCCGCGGCAAGACGGAAAGACCCCGUGAACCUUUACUAUAGCUUGACACUGAACACUGGUCCUUGAUGUGUAGGAUAGGUGGGAGGCUUUGAAGCGUGGACGCCAGUCUGCGUGGAGCCAACCUUGAAAUACCACCCUUUAAUGGCUGGUGUUCUAACGUAGACCCGUAAUCCGGGUUGCGGACAGUGUCUGGUGGGUAGUUUGACUGGGGCGGUCUCCUCCCAAAGAGUAACGGAGGAGCACGAAGGUUGGCUAAUCCUGGUCGGACAUCAGGAGGUUAGUGCAAUGGCAUAAGCCAGCUUGACUGCGAGCGUGACGGCGCGAGCAGGUGCGAAAGCAGGUCAUAGUGAUCCGGUGGUUCUGAAUGGAAGGGCCAUCGCUCAACGGAUAAAAGGUACUCCGGGGAUAACAGGCUGAUACCGCCCAAGAGUUCAUAUCGACGGCGGUGUUUGGCACCUCGAUGUCGGCUCAUCACAUCCUGGGGCUGAAGUAGGUCCCAAGGGUAUGGCUGUUCGCCAUUUAAAGUGGUACGCGAGCUGGGUUUAGAACGUCGUGAGACAGUUCGGUCCCUAUCUGCCGUGGGCGCUGGAGAAUUGAGGGGGGCUGCUCCUAGUACGAGAGGACCGGAGUGGACGCAUCACUGGUGUUCGGGUUGUCAUGCCAAUGGCACUGCCCGGUAGCUAAAUGCGGAAGAGAUAAGUGCUGAAAGCAUCUAAGCACGAAACUUGCCCCGAGAUGAGUUCUCCCUGAGACCUUGAGUCUCCUGAAGGAACGUUGAAGACGACGACGUUGAUAGGUCGGGUGUGUAAGCGCAGCGAUGCGUUGAGCUAACCGAUACUAAUGAACCGUGAGGCUUAACCUUACAACGCCGAAGCUGUU
rnacentral:rRNA from 1 species